UACGUAGGAUGCAAGCGUUGUCCGGAAUUAUUGGGCGUAAAGAGCUCGUAGGCGGUCUGUUGCGUCCGCUGUGAAAACUCGGGGCUUAACCCCGAGCCUGCAGUGGAUACGGGCAGACUAGAGGUAGGUAGGGGAGAAUGGAAUUCCCGGUGUAGCGGUGAAAUGCGCAGAUAUCGGGAGGAACACCGGUGGCGAAGGCGGUUCUCUGGGCCUUACCUGACGCUGAGGAGCGAAAGCGUGGGGAGCAAACAGG
rnacentral:rRNA from 1 species